rnacentral:rRNA from 1 species
UACGGGGGGUGCAAGCGUUGUUCGGAAUUACUGGGCGUAAAGGGCUCGUAGGCGGCCAACUAAGUCCGACGUGAAAUCCCCAGGCUUAACCUGGGAACUGCGUCGGAUACUGGAUGGCUUGAAUUCGGGAGAGGGAUGCAGAAUUCCAGGUGUAGCGGUGAAAUGCGUAGAUAUUCGGAAGAACACCAGUGGCGAAGGCGGCUCACUGGCCCGUUACCGACGCUCAGGCGCGACAGCGUGGGGAGCAAACAGG